rnacentral:tRNA from 1 species
GCAGUCGUGGCCGAGUGGUUAAGGAGAUGGACUCGAAAUCCAUUGGGGUUUCCCCGCACAGGUUCGAAUCCUGUCGGCUGCG